AACGAACGCUGGCGGCAGGCUUAACACAUGCAAGUCGAGCGCCCCGCAAGGGGGGCGGCAGACGGGUGAGUAACGCGUGGGAAUCUACCCAUCUCUACGGAAUAACGCAUGGAAACGUGUGCUAAUACCGUAUACGUCCCUCGGGAGAAAGAUUUAUCGGAGAUGGAUGAGCCCGCGUUGGAUUAGCUAGUUGGUGGGGUAAAGGCCUACCAAGGCGACGAUCCAUAGCUGGUCUGAGAGGAGGAUCAGCCACACUGGGACUGAGACACGGCCCAGACUCCUACGGGAGGCAGCAGUGGGGAAUAUUGGACAAUGGGCGCAAGCCUGAUCCAGCCAUGCCGCGUGAGUGAUGAAGGCCCUAGGGUUGUAAAGCUCUUUCAUCGGUGAAGAUAAUGACGGUAACCGGAGAAGAAGCCCUGGCUAACUUCGUGCCAGCCGCCGCAGUAAAAC
rnacentral:rRNA from 1 species